GAUGAACGCUGGCGGCGUGCCUAAUACAUGCAAGUCGAGCGAACAGACGAGGAGCUUGCUCCUCUGACGUUAGCGGCUGACGGGUGAGUAACAAGUGGAUACCCAACCUAUAAGACUGGGAUAACUUCGGGAAACCGGAGCUAAUACCGGAUAACAUGUCGAACCGCAUGGUUCAACAGUGAUAGACGCUUUUGCUGUCACUUAUAGCUGGAUCCGCGUCGCAUUAGCUAGUUGGUAAGGUAACGGCUUACCAAGGCAACGAUGCGUAGCCGACCUGAGAGGGUGAUCGGCCACACUGGAACUGAGACACGGUCCAGACUCCUACGGGAGGCAGCAGUAGGGAAUAUUCCGCAAUGGGCGAAAGCCUGACGGAGCAACGCCGCGUGAGUGAAGAAGGUCUUCGGAUCGUAAAGCUCUGUUAUUAGGGAAGAACAAAUGUGUAAUUAACUAUGCACGUCUUGACGGUACCUAAUCAGAAAGCCACGGCUAACUACGUG
rnacentral:rRNA from 1 species